UAACAGGUGAAAUGCUUGGCUUUUAAUCCGUUCAAUGAGUAGGUUGUGGCUGCAGGUUCAACUGAUAAAAUGCUCAACCUAUCUGACCUUCGUGACAAUAUCGGCAAUAGCAAAAUGAGUUACAUCUCACAAUAGUAAAGAUGGCAAGGUUAACACACACUAUAUACGAUUGGAUCUGGCAAGGUCAUAGGCAGGGCUUGCGUGGAAGAUCGGGUACUUUUCGAGGGAGCUUAAGAAAGUGGAGAAGAACAAUGGACAGGUUCUCUAGAUGGACGCUUUUCUGGAUUUUAAUAGCAUACUUACUAUGUGUUUAGGUACUUGCUAUGUGUUAGAUUUUAAUAGCAUGUUCCUUAGUGAUGCUUAGGUGGAAUGUAUGUGGCGUACAAACUGGCACACCUUGUCUU